CCUACGGGAGGCAGCAGUGGGGAAUAUUGGGCAAUGGACGAAAGUCUGACCCAGCCAUGCCGCGUGAAUGAUGAAGGCCUUAGGGUUGUAAAGUUCUUUCGCCGAUGAAGAUAAUGACGGUAGUCGGAGAAGAAGCCCCGGCUAACUUCGUGCCAGCAGCCGCGGUAAUACGAAGGGGGCUAGCGUUGUUCGGAAUUACUGGGCGUAAAGCGAGCGUAGGUUGCUCGACAAGUCAGUGGUGAAAGCCCAGAGCUCAACUCUGGAACUGCCAUUGAAACUGUCGAGCUGGAAUGUCAGAGGGGAUAGCGGAAUUCCAAAUGUAGGGGUGAAAUCCGUAGAUAUUUGGAGGAACACCGGUGGCGAAGGCGGCUAUCUGGAUGACUAUUGACACUGAGGCUCGAAAGCGUGGGGAUCAAACAGGAUUAGAUACCCUGGUAGUCCACGCUGUAAACGAUGGAUGCUAGUUGUUGGGGGGUUCCCUCUCAGUGACGUAGCUAACGCGUUAAGCAUCCCGCCUGGGGAGUACGGUCGCAAGAUUAAAACUCAAAGAAAUUGACAGGGACCCGCACAAGCGGUGGAGCAUGUGGUUUAAUUCGAGGCAACGCGAAGAACCUUACCAGGCCUUGACAUGUCCAGUUUGAUUACCAGAGAUGGUUUUCUUCACUUCGGGUGGCUGGAACACAGGUGCUGCAUGGCUGUCGUCAGCUCGUGUCGUGAGAUGUUGGGUUAAGUCCCGCAACGAGCGCAACCCUCGUCCUUAGUUGCCAUCAUUAAGUUGGGAACUCUAAGGAAACUGCCUAUGAUAAGUAGGAGGAAGGUGGGGACGACGUCAAGUCAUCAUGGCCCUUACGGCCUGGGCUACACACGUGCUACAAUGGUAGUGACAAUGGGCAGCGAUACCGCAAGGUUCAGCUAAUCCCCAAAAACUAUCUCAGUUCGGAUUGUCCUCUGCAACUCGAGGGCAUGAAGUUGGAAUCGCUAGUAAUCGUAGAUCAGCAUGCUACGGUGAAUACGUUCCCGGGUCUUGUACACACCGCCCGU
rnacentral:rRNA from 1 species